UGGGGGGACAGCGGGGCAGCCCGGGCCACGGCGAGGGUGCUGGGAGCACAGCGCACAGAGCUCUGCAGACAGGCCGUGGGGUCCCCACGCGCAGCCCUGGGGCACGGACUCAGUGCUGCUGGUCGCCUGCCCUCCACCCUCCGCCAUGCGAGCACACGGCAGGAACCAGGGCGCCGUUCAAAACCGCAUGUCCCAUUAGCGACCCCAACUGCCACGACGCCCCGCGCCCAGGUCUGCCUAUGUCCGGGGUGGGGGUGGCUUGUCUACAGCCGGAGCUGAGCGUGGGACGUGAAGUGGGUGCCACCGUUCGCCGCUGCAGGGCCCUGGGCCCUGACCUGCUGGGAGGCAGGCAGGGUCACGGGGUGCAGGUGAGGGGGCGGCCGCCCCUGCCCCGACCCGGGCAGCACCCGGGGAGGAACGCUCAGCCACAAGCCGCCUCUGCUGGAUUCCGGGGCCACGUCCGUGCCGGGUGCUCGGCCUGCGUGCGGACCAGCAACGGGGCCUCCAGAGGCCGCCCUCAGGGCACAGACAGGGCAAGACCCCCGGGGCCAGCCACAAUCCGGCAGGACCCGGGGGUGGGGCCCGAGGAGCUCACGCCAGGCCCACAGCCGCCACCGUGUGAUGAGUCUGCAGCCUCGGGGCAGCCGACGGCUGGGCCAAGCUCCGGAGUGACUCCCGGGUGCAGAAGGUGCAGGUGCGGGGACAGCUGUCCGCGCCCCAGGCCGGGCCCUCCCGGCGUUGCCCCCGCCUUGACUGCACCCUCCGCCCCCCCAGCCCGGGCCUGGGCUCUCCUCCCUCCUGGGAGCUGCGCUGUGGCCGCCCUUGGGAGAGGCUGUCCGGGCAGGAGUCAUCACGGAGGGACUUGGGGAUCCAGAUCUAACCCCGGGGACCCUGUCCUGGGAGGGCAGACGAGUCGGCGGGACCAUCGUGGCCAAGGCUUGGGACCUCUGGGAGGGGCUCCUGGCCAUCAGGCAAGCAAGGCAGACGCCCCUGCGGUGCUUCUGUGGUGCAGACCCCUAGGGAGCCAGCGAGGCCGCCUGGGGAUGCCGUGGGCUGGGAGGGGCUGUGGGCCGGGGCGUGGGCUCCAGCUCCAGGGGAGUCCCUGCCGCCCGUCCUGUCCCGUCCAGGGCCUGGCAGCUCCGGGGCCCGGGAACCUCCAGGACGUUGACCCCGUCCCCGAGAAUUCAGCUGUUUUCCCUGAGUCGUGUCCCUGGGAACAGCUCCCAUGGACCGAUCCCUGCGCCUUGGACACCAGCAGCCCACGCCCAAGAAAGCCUCCUCUGAGAGCCUGGCCCGCCUCCCCACCCACGCCCACCUCCCGGCUCUGCGUGGUCCCCGCAUCGGGCCCCACAUGUCGCGUCCACACUGCUCCUUUGUUCCCUGGGUCCGGGAGCGCGAGGCCCCAGGCCCGGGCUGGGCAGGCUGGCCGACUGGCGCCCGGGGCUGGGCAUCGCUGGGGCUACGACCCCAUAGUCCCCGGGCCCGGGGGCAGCUGGUGCCCGAGGUCUGACCCCAAGCAAGCUUUUAAUGCCCGUUCCUGAUGUCUUGAGGCCAAACGCCUGAGAGCUGUCAGGUGAUGGAGUCGGCUUCUCCCGCGGCUCCUGGGGGUCGUCGCCAACACCCCCUGCCUGCUGGGCCCCCGGAUCCCGACACGUGCCCUCCCUCACCCGCUGGCCCCGGACCCCACAGCCCACACCUGCUCCAGC
rnacentral:lncRNA from 1 species